GAUUAAGCCAUGCAUGUGUAAGUAUAACUAAUUUACUUUGAAACUGCGAAUGGCUCAUUAUAUCAGUUAUAGUUUAUUUGGUGAAGGAUACUAAUUGGAUAACCGUAGUAAUUCUAGGGCUAAUACAUGAGUAAAGCCCCGUUGGGAUGUGUUUAUUAGAAUGAAAACCAUAUGCUUCGGAAUGAUAGUGAGUAAUAGUAACCUAUCGUAUCGCAUGCUUAAUGUAGCGAUGAGUCUUUCAAGUUUCUGCCCUAUCAGCUUUCGAUGGUAGCAUAUGGGUCUACCAUG
rnacentral:rRNA from 1 species